GACGAACGCUGGCGGCGUGCUUAACACAUGCAAGUCGAACGGAAGGGCCCUUCUUUUGUUGGUUGCUCGAGUGACGAACGGGUGAGUAACACGUGAGUAACCUUCCCUUUCCUUUUGGCUUACUUCAGGAAACUGUAGCUCAUACCGGAUAUGAUCUCCUCCUGCAUGGUGGGGGUUGGCAAGUUUCGGCGGUUGGGGAUUGACUUGCGGCUUAUCAGCUUGUUGGUGGGGUGGUGGCUUACCAAUGCUUUGACGGGUAGCCGGCCUGGGGGGGCGGCCGGGCAAAUUGGGGCCGGGAUAAGGCCCAGACUCCUACGGGAGGGAGGAGGGGGGAAUAUUGGAAAAUGGGGGGAAGGCUGAUGCAGGAAAGCCGCGUGGGGGAUGACGGGCUUCGGGUUGUAAACCGCUUUUAGCAGGGGCGAAGGUGGGGGUGACGGUACCGGGAGAAGAAGCACCGGCUAACUACGUG
rnacentral:rRNA from 1 species